GAUGAACGCUGGCGGCGUGCCUAAUACAUGCAAGUCGAGCGAACAGAUGAGGAGCUUGCUCCUCUGACGUUAGCGGCGGACGGGUGAGUAACACGUGGAUAACCUACCUAUAAGACUGGGAUAACUACGGGAAACCGGAGCUAAUACCGGAUAAUAUAUUGAACCGCAUGGUUCAAUAGUGAAAGACGGUUUUGCUGUCACUUAUAGAUGGAUCCGCGCCGCAUUAGCUAGUUGGUAAGGUAACGGCUUACCAAGGCAACGAUGCGUAGCCGACCUGAGAGGGUGAUCGGCCACACUGGAACUGAGACACGGUCCAGACUCCUACGGGAGGCAGCAGUAGGGAAUCUUCCGCAAUGGGCGAAAGCCUGACGGAGCAACGCCGCGUGAGUGAUGAAGGUCUUCGGAUCGUAAAACUCUGUUAUUAGGGAAGAAAAAAUGUGUAAGUAACUAUGCACGUCUUGACGGUACCUAAUCAGAAAGCCACGGCUAACUACGUGC
rnacentral:rRNA from 1 species